GACGAACGCUGGCGGCAUGCCUUACACAUGCAAGUCGAACGGACCUAGCAAUAGGUUAGUGGCGAACGGGUGAGUAAUACAUGAGCAACCUGCCUCAAACAGGGGGAUAACACCGGGAAACUGGUGCUAAUACCGCAUAAGACCACAGCGCGGCAUCGCGAAGGGGUAAAAACGAUUCAGUGGUUUGAGAUGGGCUCAUGUCCCAUUAGCUAGUUGGUGAGAUAACAGCCCACCAAGGCGACGACGGGUAGCCGACCUGAGAGGGUGAUCGGCCACAUUGGGACUGAGACACGGCCCAGACGCCUACGGGAGGCAGCAGUGAGGAAUAUUGGGCAAUGGGCGAAAGCCUUACCCAGCAAUGCCGCGUGAGUGAAGCAGGUCUUCGGAUUGUAAAGCUCUUUGAUCAGGGACGAACACAAUGACGGUACCUGAAGAACAAGCCCCGGCUAACUACGUGCCAGCAGCCGCGGUAACAC
rnacentral:rRNA from 1 species